rnacentral:rRNA from 1 species
CAGCACCUCAAGUGGUCAGGAUGAUUAUUGGGCCUAAAGCAUCCGUAGCCGGCUCUGUAAGUUUUCGGUUAAAUCUGUAUGCUCAACAUACAGGCUGCCGGGAAUACUGCAGGGCUAGGGAGUGGGAGAGGUAGACGGUACUCGGUAGGAAGGGGUAAAAUCCUUUGAUCUAUUGAUGACCACCUGUGGCGAAGGCGGUCUACCAGAACACGUCCGGCGGUGAGGGAUGAAAGCUGGGGGAGCAAACCGGAUUAGAUACCCGAGUAGUCC